GUUUAACAGAAAUGUAAUAAUAACAGUAGUAACGUUAAUGCUAUUGAAUGAGGUAGUAAUUAUUUCUUUAAGCUCUAAGUCUUAAAUAAACAGUGUAUGCCUAAGUCCAUUUCAGUGCUUCCAAGAAAAUAAGCAGCAAAGUUCUCUUCUGCUAAAAUGGAGAAUGAAGUAUUUGGGGAUGGAAAGGCAUUUAGCAAAGGCAGAAACUCUUACUGCUGUCUCUGGAGCUUGUCCCCAGACUCACCGUGGGAGAGUUAAAAGGAAUGAAAACAAGAGAUUUAAUUGAACAUGCAUCUUGGAACAUUCAUCCUUCCUCUGAUAUCACGUUGCAUGUAAAAAUAUCAAGACGCUAUUUCAAUAACAAGAUGAUGUUUCAUUCAGUUGGGUUUUCAGGUGCAGAGGCAGAGAUGACUAUUGUGAGCUGGAAAUCACUAUCAUUCCAACCUGAGGAGGGAAUCUGUUUAUUUCUGGCAAAAACUGGAAUUUCUUCAAGAAGAGGAUAA
ensembl:lncRNA